AACGAACGCUGGCGGCGUGGAUAAGACAUGCAAGUCGAACGGGAUUACUUCUGUAGCAAUACAGAAGUAAUUUAGUGGCGAACGGGUGCGUAACACGUGGGGAAUCUGCCGAGAAGUGGGGGAUAGCUCGCCGAAAGGCGGGCUAAUACAGCACACGACCGUUGGUCUUCGGACUGGCGGUGAAAGCAGGCCUCUAUAUAUAAGCUUGCGCUCCAGGUUGGGCCCGCCGCCCCACNCA
rnacentral:rRNA from 1 species